UCCUCCAUUGAUCAUCUUGCAGAGAAGACUUGAUUUCCAAAUGUUCAAGACCUCUGCCUUAGAAGACUUGACAUCAUCUCCUGCAAGUCGUGUGCAUCAAAACUAGUCCUUCUCUCUGCAGUGCCUGGAAUAAGGGAACGGAUGGUAAAAUGGCAUAAGGACAAGGUCUACUUCUAGGCAUCUGGACAGAAAAGGACUCCUUUGCCCCAAAGGAACUAAUGUCAAACAGCAGCACCGCUAAUGAGUUCCUGCUCCUGGCAUUCGCAGAGAGGCAGGAGCUGCAGUUCCUGUACUUCUCGCUCUUCCUGGGCAUCUACGUGGCUGCCCUCAUAGGCAAUGGCCUCAUCAUCACAGCCAUAGCCU